rnacentral:lncRNA from 1 species
UUGAUGCAUUAGUGCUGGUAUGAUGGCACAUGUUCCAUUUCGCGCAUCAAAUACAUAUACUCCUUUUCCUUCCCUCCCCAUUCCCGUCAUUUGUUUCGCUGUGUGCUCACACCGCACCUCUACUUCUAGUUCUAAUAUAGAGCAAAAUACUCCGGCGCCUCGACUCAUGCCGAGAUGAACGGACCACCUGCCACACCUUUAUUUUCGUUGUUCUAUUA